CUAUAGGACAAUAAAGAACAAAAACUUUGAUUACCCAGGACGUAUGAAAGCAGAGAUUAGAAACAAAGAACCUCAAAUUGGGUUUUUUGUUGUAGUUGAUUGGUUUGGUACCUGGACGGGGGAACAAUGCUUUGACUUGCACUGUUAAUGAAAGGCCCAUCUUUAUCCAAGUAACAAGAUUAGAAGACAUAAAAAAUGAGAAGAAAAGUUGAGAGAAUGGCAGUCAGUUAAAAAAGUGCCAUUAAUUUGUACGUUCCUAGUCUUCAAAUUACUUUUAUUAAUGCCUCUUAAUAACUAACCUAUCUACUUUUUCUCUCUAGUAUCACUCAGUUUUCUAUUUCUCUAUUUAGUUUUCAUGAUCCAUCAUUUCAAAAAGUCUUUUGGCAGAUACCUUAAUCUUCCCUGUUUUUUGACUUUACGUUACUCUUAACUGUCAAAUCCCCAGCCAUGGAUUAAUUUAUCCACUUGUUCUGGAGUAUCCAUGAAUUUCCUGAAUUUCUGGUUUGUAGAGGUUGCUAACCGAAAUGAAUUCAUUGUUACUCAUCUGAACUGGGCCCUCGAUAAUGUUGCUUACCUUAAUGUUCCUUUAUGAACGCACAUGUAUAUGAUCUGCAGUGGUCGUAUUUCAUUACAGCCUCUGCUUUCCUAAAUCUCUUCACUUUUCCAAUGACACCACACUUUCCUUCAUUUUCUUUCUUAGGCUGACUUUUCUAAAUCUACUUUGCCAGUUCCUUCUUUCCCAUUAGACCUUUAAACGUUGAAGUUUAUUGAUUCUUGGUUGUCAACCAUCUUAGGCCCCUUACCCUGCUUUCCUAGGUGAUUUCAGCUUUACACAGUUUUGGUGACUAUCUGCAGUUAACACUGUAUGAAAGAAAUGCAAUGUAAGUGCAUAUCUAAAUAAAAAAUUUCCAAUAGCUAUAUUAAAACUAGAAAUUCCACAACUGCUCAGCAUGAGUAACAGGGGCUAUCUCUCCUUCAUGAAGCAGCUAAAAAACCAGAGCAUAUGUCACAACGGUUUUCAAGUCCCUAGACAUUAGGUGAUGAAGGACAGUGUUUUCUGAGAUAGAGGAAACAAAUGAGAUGAAUCUUAGGAUGGCCCAGUUUACUGCCUUGAGUUUCCAGGCUGUAGUUCAGGAAGAGGGAGGCCAGAUGGAUCAUGGAAAAGCCCUUGAGUUGAAGAGAUGGAGCUGAGCAUUCACAAAGGCCAGAGCUGGAGUUUGCAUUUGGAACUUGUGAGAUCAUUGCCGGGUAUCUAGUGUUUUAUCUAAAGAGAAAGUUACUUGAUUUGCAGAGUAUUCCUCGGAAUAUUCAGCAGGGUACUGAUUAGUGCAUGGAUGUGGGGAAACUAUCCAGAGGCAUGGAAAGAUUCCCUGAAAGGAUCUGGGCACUCACACAGGGCUGGGACUAGUGUCUGUUCCUAAAAGGUAGUCUUGAAAACCUCAAAUCAUGGGGAACUGAGUAGACUACUCAGAAGAGUCUUGCUCCAGUGGUGUGGAAGAAUAUUAGCUCUCGGCCCACCCUGACAAAUCUUAGACGCAAGACAUCCCUUCCCCCCAAGUCAAACUGCGUCUAAGAAACAUUACUAUCCUAGAACAAAACUCAGUAUUCUAAGAAACCCAACAAAUCCCAAACACAAGAUGCAUGAAUAUCGGAGUUCCUGUUGUGGCUCAGUGGUUAACGAAUCAGGCUAGCAGCCUUGAGGUUGUGGGUUUGAUCCCUGACCUUGUUUGAUCCCUAACUCAAUAACUGCAAAAACAGCAAGACAGAAAAAUCACCAUUCAUCUUUGAAAUGUGUUUUCACUGGAUAUAGAAUUCUCAGUUGACAGGGAUUUUUUUUUUCCCCAUAUGUUAAGGAUGUUAAUCAAUUAUCUUCUUGGGAGUUUCCAUCGUGGCUUAGCAGAAACAAAUCUGAUCCAUGAGGAUGCAGGUUCGAUCCCUGGCCUCUCUCAGUGGGUUAAGGAUCUGGCAUUGCCCUGAGCUGCGGUGUAGGUCGCAGACAUUGCUCAGAUCCUGAGUUGCUGUGGCUGUGGUGUAGGCUGGUGGGUACAGCUCCUAUUAGACCCCUAGCCUGGGAACCUCCACAUGCUGCGGGUGCAGCCUUAG
rnacentral:lncRNA from 1 species